CCUACGGGUGGCUGCAGUGAGGAAUAUUGGUCAAUGGGCGCGCGCCUGAACCAGCCAAGUCGCGUGAGGGAAGACGGUCCUAUGGAUUGUAAACCUCUUUUGUCGGGGAGCAAAAGACGCCACGCGUGUCGUUCCGAGAGUACCCGACGAACAAGCAUCGGCUAACUCCGUGCCAGCAGCCGCGGUAAGACGGGGGAUGCGAGCGUUAUCCGGAUUUAUUGGGGUUAAAGGGUGCGCAGGCGGAAGAUCAAGUCAGCGGUAAAAUUGAGAGGCUCAACCUCUUCGAGCCGUUGAAACUGGUGUGCUUGAGUGAGCGAGAAGUAUGCGGAAGGCGUGGUGUAGCGGUGAAAUGCAUAGAUAUCACGCAGAACUCCGAUUGCGAAGGCAGCAUACCGGCGCUCAACUGACGCUCAUGCACGAAAGUGUGGGUAUCGAACAGGAUUAGAUACCCGGGUAGUC
rnacentral:rRNA from 1 species